AACGAACGCUGGCGGCAUGCCUAACACAUGCAAGUCGAACGAGACCUUCGGGCUUAGUGGCGCACGGGUGCGUAACGCGUGGGAACCUGCCCUUAGGUUCGGAAGAACUCCCCGAAAGGGGUGCUAAUACCGGAUAAUGUCUUCCGACCAAAGAUUUAUCGCCUUUGGAUGGGCCCGCGUUGGAUUAGCUAGUUGGUAGGGUAAAAGCCUACCAAGGCGACGAUCCAUAGCUGGUCUGAGAGGAUGAUCAGCCACGCUGGGACUGAGACACGGCCCAGACUCCUACGGGAGGCAGCAGUGGGGAAUAUUGGACAAUGGGCGAAAGCCUGAUCCAGCAAUGCCGGGUGAGUGAUGAAGGCCUUAGGGUUGUAAAGCUCUUUUACACGGGAUGAUAAUGACAGUACCGGGAGAAUAAGCUCCGGCUAACUCCGUG
rnacentral:rRNA from 1 species